GUUUGUAAACCUUGUACUGAUAUUCUAUUACUGGUUUCUAGUGGAUUAGAGCAUUAACCAUUUUGGUGGAAGCUCAACGUGGUGACAUAGCCCAUUUUUGGGUGAACAUCCGGAUCUACGAGCAAAAAAUCCUUGUGUUCUUUUAUUUUUUCUGUGUUUUUCUUGGAUUAUUGGGAUUGCUAAUACCAACAGAAGUUUCUUUCCUCAUCAAAUUGUUUGUGUCAAAAGCAAGUAUUGGGUUAUGAAUUUG
rnacentral:lncRNA from 1 species